UUUCCCGCGGAAACUGAUAACGUGACUCUAAAUGUUGCCGCGAAAGAUGCUUCUGGGACGCCAUAUUGGUUUUUUGGUUCGUGCCGAAGGUUGAUGUCUAAUUCCCUAAUGGCCCAAUUUAAUUUAAAGGGAAAUAAAGGGAGGCGGUCCAUAAUGGACUUAGAAAUUUACAAAGUUGUCCGAGAUAGUGUAAUGAUCAGUCAGCCGAGCUGCAAUGAAGCCGAGAUAAUAACAGCAGUUUCGGCUCAUCUAAAAUAUGAGCCGGACAGAAGAGGGACCAAUUAAGUACAUGUACAGUUUAAAUUUGUUUAUUACAUGUCAUAUUUUAUUAUAAUCUUUAUAAGCCAUUUUAAGUUCUUUUAUCAUCCAUUUAAUUUUAUUUUAUUUUCUAUGUGUGAUGUCCACAAAAUGUUAACUGCGCCAUUGAGCAUUGAGUGUUUUA